CAUACACACACACAUACAUAUACCCAGACCCUUGGUUCUAACCUAUACACACACGUAUGCUCAAACACCUAUACACACACAUGCAUGCGCACACACCUAUACACAUGCAUGCACACACAUACACAAACAUGCAUACAUACACAUACACACACAGAUGCUUGGUUCUAAUUCAUACAUACACAUACAUGCACACACAUACACAUGCAUACAUACACAUACACAUGCAUUUACACACAUACACAUGCACACACACAUGCAUCCACACACACACACACACACAAUAUGCAAACACCUUUAAAAGAAUCGUUAAGACAUCAGAUUUUGCCACAGCCUACAGACUUGGAAAAGUAAGAACGAUGUCAUCCUAGUGGGGUGUGGUCCCCACCCUUGUAAUCCCAGCACUUGAGAAGCAAAGGGCUGCAAACUGAAGGCCAGCCUUGUCUACAUAGUGGCUUCCAGGGCAGCCUAAGCUACAGAGCAAGACCUUGACUCAAACAAAAGAACCAACCAAACAAAAACCCAGAAACAAGCAUGGCAGCGCUCCCCUGUUGUUCCAGCAAGGAGCAGGAGGAACCGCAGUUACAGGUCAUUAGCUAUGUAAGUCAGGCAGG
rnacentral:lncRNA from 1 species